AUCCCGCCUUGCAUCAACUGAA
rnacentral:siRNA from 1 species